CAGCCGCCACGGUAAUACGAAGGGGGCUAGCGUUGUUCGGAUUUACUGGGCGUAAAGGGCGCGUAGGCGGGCUGAUAAGUCAGGGGUGAAAUCCCAAGGCGCAACCUUGGAACUGCCUUUGAUACUGUUUGUCUUGAGUUCGAGAGAGGUAAGUGGAACUGCGAGCGUAGAGGUGAAAUUCGUAGAUAUUCGCAAGAACACCAGUGGCGAAGGCGGCUUACUGGCUCGAAACUGACGCUGAGGCGCGAAAGCGUGGGGAGCAAACAGGAUUAGAUACCCCCGUAGUCCCUGUCUCUUAUAC
rnacentral:rRNA from 1 species